rnacentral:lncRNA from 1 species
ACCUUAGUGAAUAGUUUAGCAAACUAUUUCUUAAAACAUUUUUCAUUCAUGGUAGAUACUUGCAAUGUAUUGUAUGACUGGGAAGAAGAAUAAACAUAUAAGAACUUGAAGAUAAUGGCCAAGCCAAUGGAAAGAAUUUCCAGGGAAAUAUAUUCCCUUAUCCUGCCACUGUACAGAAGAGUAACAACCAACCAGCCAAUCAACAGAAGGGAAAAAAAAUUAACAACCAAUACUUUCAAGACCAUCUCAUUAAUAAUCACAGGACUUGCGAGUGUGUUUUCCAGUCUCAGGUCUGUAUCAGCAGAAGAUGGUGUUCAUACCCAGUCAUGGAAUCAGUCCCUGAGCCAUCAUAGCCUUGGGCAGUUGUAAUGACAUCAUGAAAUUUUUCAUCCUUUUCUAUAUAGUGGGAUGGAUAUUUACUUAUUUGUUUUGGAAUUUCCUUCAUUAAUUUUGUUCCAAAUAGAAAAGCACAU